rnacentral:rRNA from 1 species
GACGAACGCUGGCGGCGUGCUUAACACAUGCAAGUCGAACGAUGAAGCCCAGCUUGCUGGGUGGAUUAGUGGCGAACGGGUGAGUAACACGUGAGUAACCUGCCCUCCACUCUGGGAUAACUCCGGGAAACCGGUGCUAAUACUGGAUAUGACUUCCGACCGCAUGGUUGGGGGUGGAAAGAUUUAUCGGUGGUGGAUGGACUCGCGGCCUAUCAGCUUGUUGGUGGGUAAUGGCCUACCAAGGCGACGACGGGUAGCCGGCCUGAGAGGGUGACCGGCCACACUGGGACUGAGACACGGCCCAG